rnacentral:sRNA from 1 species
GUUAGGGGAAGGUUUGAAGGCCCUGGAGGUGACAGCAGCCCCACAGAAAGAUUGAUAUGUCAACUACCCUGCACCCCUGAGAGUUCGCAGAGACUGAGCUCUCAACUAAGAUCAAUCACACGGCUUAUCCGAGUCUGGUCCCCGGACCCUGACACAUCUGUAGCAGUAGGAUGCGCCUAAUCCUGCAAGGACUCGAUGCACCAGGGUGGGGGUUAGAGAGACAGGAGCUUCACUCUCAGAGCAAAAGGGGAAGAGAAAGGGAGGACUGAGAGGGAGAGAAACAUGUAGGAUAUAAACAAACAAACAAACAAAUACCUUAUAGAUUGCAUUUCCACUUACAAAGAACUGAGUCUUGGAGGCCAGAUUGUUUCCAAUUGUGUGUGUCUGGAGGAGUCAGAUGAUGUCUACUCUCAGUUUCCUCUGACUUGACCUGCUUCUCAGGGCAAGGGCCAAUCUUAUUUGACAAGGAAGCCCCUUUAGUUCUUAUGUGCACAUAGAAGGAGUCUACAUUGAAGGGGAUUACACUUUCAAAGGUGUCCUGAUCUCUGAUCCUCCCAUAGUAACACUAACAUGUUAAGGAAACUGCUACAAACCAAUGCCUUGGCUGGAUCUACCUGGGUUUUGAACACUGGGUUCUUUCUUAGCUAUGCUGCUCCUAAAUUCCAGGCUGACAAAACUCAGCAGAAAAAGUAAAACCCACAUGGAAGAAACAGUAGAUGGCAAAGGGAGACAAAGUCUCAGCAGGGUAGUCAUGGUCUCUGGCCCCUUCUCACAGAUACAGGAAAAGCCCUGGGACACGAACUCUCCCCAAGGCUGCCUCCUUGUCUAAGCAAAGACUUUCAUGACUGAGAGCAGAUCAGUCUCUGCAUAGGUAGACUCUAAGUGUUGUCUUAAACGUCCCACAUCCAAGCAUUAACUCAAGCAGAAAUGAGUGUCUUCCUCCCAACAGAGUAAUUACCAAUUUCCUAUUAUCUCAUAACACCACAAAGAAUGAUUUCCUCUAACACUUCUGUCCUUAAAAGUCAUAUUCCUUACAACUGUUCAUCCCCAAGACUCCAUUUUAUAUAUAAAAAUUUGCAAAAUCAGCACCAUCUUUUGUUUUAAAAAUAUUUAGUGUUGUGUUAAACGGAUCCAUCAUUUUAGAGCCCAAGGAUUGUAGAUCUCCACAGUACAAAUGCAAGUUAAACAGAUGCGGUCCUCCAUGGGCUGACUUUUAAAUUUAUCUACAUAAUCUAGAGAUGUUUGUGUGUACAUUCACCCUGUUUUCCUUUCCUGUUAGCUUGCUGCCUCUUAACUUGUCUUGAAUACUUUAAGAAGCUGCUCUGGGAACCUUCUCUCCAGUAGAUUAGAAUGCCUUAAAGAUAAAUUUCCUAUCUAACUGGGUUGAGAGAGAUGCCCAAGGUGUCUUCGGCAUCCUCAUUUGGUACAGCCAACCAAAUCCUCUUUUGUACCUAAUAAACAUGGUCUGUAAUUUAUAGACAGGUUAUGAACUGUUAGAGCUCUGCUUCCUGUGUAGACGCCAAGCACUGGAAAUUCUAUUUUAAGAGAAUUAAAGAACUGUAUUAUAAAAUGUUCAUGGUAUGAAAAGUACAGAAUUAAGACGAUUUCAACAAUUACAGUGUCCUACUUAAAUUAUGUUGAAAGGAAAUCCGGGGACAGUUUGAAGUGUGGAGAAGCAGGCCGGGCCUUUCAAUCUCCUUUAGAGACACACGCAGCAAAACGAGAAGCCCUUGCCUUGCCCUCAGCAAACCUUUCCCUCCUAAGCUCAAUCUCCAUAUUCUUUAAACUUCUUAAAAUUAGUCAAAUGAUUCCAUUUGUAUUUUUUCUGCUCUAAAUUUAUUUGAGGCAGAAUCAAAUGUAUACCAACCCAUCUUCCUUGCUGUUUCAUGGAAGCCAGUUCCAUAAUUCUCCAUGAGAAGAAAGCCAAUGUGUCUAUCAAAGAGGCUUUAUGUUAAAUGUAAAUUUCUGUACUUUCAGUUAAAAGGGAAGAUUAUUUAAUUCACUUCAAUUUAACAAGCAUUUACAGAGUAGUGGCAGGCAUUGGUCACGAAAAGGAAUAAAAAAGAAUACAGAAUGCUUGGAUGUUUCCUAUGGACUGAGGGAAACAGGUGCAUCCACCAUGAGUUCAGGACAGGGCAGAACUCGGGCUACACCAGAAGCACACACAAAGGGGAGGUGUGCUGAUUGAUGUGUGUCUAGGGACUCUAACAGAGGUUUCAGAGAUGAGGCAAGGUGACAUUGGGACUGGCUAAAGGAUGAAGUCUGUGGCACGGUAUCCUAUGGGAAAGAAACCCGUAGGAAAAAAACAAUAUACCACAUGACUCCACAUGAUUUGCAGAUCCUGGCACACAUAAAAAGAUGGGGCCCCAACUCAAUACCAUUAGGAACUUCAGUGAUGAUAACUGGGUAAGCCUGUUAUCCAGCAAGACUCAGGGAAGCCAACCUGUAUGUCAAUGGCCACCUGCAGCAACUGGAGGACCAGAGACCUAGUAAGGUGGCACCUAGUAAUCUUAAUCAUCAAAUGUGUCAGGGGGCCGAGAUUAUAGGGGGUUCUCCCGCUAAGAGAAAGCGUCCAUUGCUGAUGACAGGGUACAGGACAUACUAAGUACUUUGCCAAGGUAGACAGAAGCUAAGCAUUUAACAAACACAUCUGAGAAUAUGAGUCCCUUUCUCCUCCACAGGCUGACACUAUUUAAGUUGAUACAGAAAGUAUUGUUUUUCCUGUGAGUUGAAUUCUUUUCCGGGAGGGAGUGGAGGGAGCUUUGAAGGGUCUGCUGUCCCCAGUUUGCCUCUAACUCAACAGACAAAAAAAGGGAGUUAUAGUGCAAAUAAAGAAACAUAUAUUUAGAUUUUCGGUGUGACAUAAUAUUCCCAAUUUCCCUCCAUUUUCCCUCUUUUAACAAAAAGAAACUGUAGGCAAGGCCUUGAUAAGGCCUCCACAUGAGCAAGAAGGCAAUGGACUCAGAUCUAUUUACAUUUUGCCUGCAUUUAUUUUUACAGUCCAGUGGUGAGUGGGGCUAUCCAGCUCCCACUUCCGCCUGAAGCUACUUUAAGCUUCAAACCACUGCCCUGAGCAUUGGAACAGAGUCUCUGCGGUCCCCAUAGAAAUCCUGUGGAAUGCACUUUCCUGCUGGUUUGUUACACUGCUUCAGCGCCUACUCCAUUUUGCAGGGCAACAAAACUCCACACCACAGUCCAACCAGAAAGACUUUAACCCUUCUCUUCUGUAAUUAAAGUUCCUAUUUACAUGGAAAGGUUGUUUGUGAAUAAUCCCUGCAGGGAGUCAACCUAACAAAAAUCAAUCACCCAGCACUCUCACAAGGCCAAGCCCAGAGCUUGGCACCUAGCACAAUACCUAUUUGUUGAACAAGUGAUGAAUGCUGACCCAUUUAUCUGGAUUGAUUUUCUUCUGCCCCAAACCUAACUUUCUACUCUGUUAAAUUCGACUCUCUUAUCCUUUUAGAGAAUUCUUCAAUACAUUUUUCCCCUCCACAUCUUAAACUAUUCCCUGAAGAAUUCUCAUGGCUCUAUAUCAAAAGUCCUAUUAAAUUCUUAAUGGGAUAACCAUGAAAAAGGAAAUUAUUGUAUUAAUUCUCUGUCACCAGCACAGGACUGAGUGAGCUGACCGCUGGCGGAGCAUUCGGGUUCUGAGUCAGGAGCCUGGGCACAUUCAUGCUCACACAGUGGACGCGCAUUAAAGUGAGAGCCUGCACUUUUCACGUGAGAGAGAACACAUGGCAUUUGUCCAUCCGAGCCUGGCUCACCUCACAUACAGCUCUGGGCGUGCAGCCAAGUUAUUCAACCUCCCUGCACCUGGGAUCCCUCACGGGCUCACUGAGGAGUGAAUUCAGUCUCUGGAAGUACUGAGUACAGCACCUGACCUGUGGCACAUUCUCAGUGGAAGUACUGAGUACAGCACCUGACCUGUGGCACAUUCUCAGUGGAAGUACUGAGUACAGCACCUGACCUGUGGCACAUUCUCAGUAAGCACUACUUUUUACCACCAAUCUACUAGAAGUAAUAAUCACUAAUUUAACACGAACGUUAAUAUUUUAAUGUGCCAAUUUAUAUUCAUUCAAUAUGAAUUUAGAAGAUUAUGGAAUAAUAUGUGACUGAUAAAAAUUUUCUUCUUUGAAGAAAGCUCUAUUUAAGAACAUGAGAUGGUUACAUAAAGGAAAUCGUUUUAGUUUACCUCGUGUUCCUCGGUAAAUUCUCUGUCGUGCCUUCCAGAAAACGAAACUCCUUGACAAAGCUUAAAUGUUUAUAAAACUUCCUUGAAAACUUACACAUUUUCCCAUUUUUUUCUGACAGAAUGUGAAGAGACUGUUUCAGUGCUUUCCUCCCACAACUGUCCGCUUCCAAAAGACAAAUUGCAGAAGGCAGGGAUUUUUUUAUUUUUACAAGUCUCAAAUUAAAACCUCACAUUAAACAUUAUUAUCAUUUGGAAAUAUUUGGCCACGCAAAAGCCAACAGACAAGUUCGUUCUAAAAGGCAUUCUGUCAUCUCUUUAGUGGCCACGGCCCUGCCAGCUUCCUGGUGCUCUUAUGACAGUACCAUCAGUCAAUUCAAUCGGAGAAAAUCUAAAGUACGAUGGUAAUUUUCCCCCACAUUUUUUCUCUACUCCGUCAGUCCAAGUCACCUGCUGAAAGCCUUGAUGUGGAACAGCUCGGUAUUCGCUCUGAAGUCAGUACCAGUCCAAAGCUAAAUGCCUGCAUAUUCUUAGCAGAGACUUAACAGCACGUGAGCCCAGACGUGGAACAGACAUGGGGGCACAUUACUUAAGAUCCCCUGUUAUAAAGUCAUUUGCACUGACCCUGAGUAUUGCUACACUGAUGUUAGCCGGGAAAGGAAAAUGAGUUCCUGAAUAUAGGAACAAGUGUUUCAGCGUGAAGUUAACUGAGAACUAUUAAAAAACAAACAAUAAACUCGACUCCAUACCCAGCACAUUAAGUAGCUGACACGUCUAACAGGGUCUCGGCAGAAAGACAUAGGACAUUUUAAAAGAACGCUUCUGUGCCUUUAAAUUUCAACUUGAGUUUUGCAGUAGUGUGCACAUUUUUUUCACAUGGCCCCUUAAAGAGAAAGUAAAGUGCAAUCACCUCUGGUAUCUUCCGUGCUCUGGCACCUCGCCUGGCCUGCCGAGCCCAGCAGGUAGGUCUGUAAGCACUGAGGCUGCCAGGAUGAAAGGCAUUUGCUACAUCUACUCAGAGGGUCGUCAAUGGACAACCUGUACAAGAUUUAUGCUUUAAAUAAUAAAUGAACUAAACACCUUGAGGUAAUUGGCUGUGUGAAGCUUCACAAUAGCCCAGAUAGCUUGUCUGAAAAAAGCCAAAGAAGACUGAAUAAUGGAUGCGGGGCGUGGGGGAUUUGUGCCAAGCCAACACUGCACAGCUCCUUUUUAAACAAGAGUGGUCUGGGACUCCAGUUUCCAGGAUCCUAAGAAGUGCUGACCAGACUUUCUCUUUCUGUGUCCACAGUAAUGACUUCAAACGUUCUUACUUUUUCAUGAUUUCCAAUGGAUGCUGGCACGUGACAGCCAGUUCUUUUAGCUUAAUAUGUGGCCCGCUGGGUGAUGCAAUCUUGUCCAAAGUCUACAGCAUACUCAAUUCUACCUGCACUUUAUAAAGAUAAGAAAGACCAGCAUCUGAGAUGUCUGGGGGUGGGUACCUCUGAUGCAGUACAGAUUUAGUAGCAACUGCCACCAUGAGGACUAACUGAUGGCCUGUCAACCAGCAUUCAAGACAUGUCCACUGCAGGAUUCUGUAAGCAGAGAGCCCCUUCCUGUGAGAAAAGCACAUCAAGAUAUUCAUAUGAACAAAUUAUGGCAGCUUGGUGGAAAAUUUAAAUGGGGAAGAGAUGAAGGCCAGGUAGGUAAAAUAAAAUUAGAAAACUACGGUCGUUGAGUUCAGAUAUAAAGGCAUGGGGGAUGAUCAGUCUAGACCCUAGCUGCUGCCUGUUUGAACAUUUCUGUAAUCAAACUUACUUUUCUAAGACUAUAACCAAACGGGUGUCAGGCAGCACUCAUAUCCAAAGCAAUUGACACCAAAGGUUAUUUUCAAGAUUGGAGAAGUUGGGCAUCCAGAGCCGCUUGGAGCCAGUUUCCACAUGUACUCAGGAAGCCUGGGGUGCUGUGACCUAUCUCUUCAGGAGUAAGGCUGUCCCACUGCUCCCCUGGUCACAGUAUCAAAUAUCUGGGUAAGCUGUUUCCUCUGUCUUUGGAGCUCAGGAUAUAGGGCAUCUCCUAGUCACCCUUCCUGCUCCCACGUGUUGUGUGCCUUAUGCCCAACCACUGCCUGUUUUUUCCACAGCACUCACAGGUUGUGACUGUUCUACAUGUCUGUUCGCCCCCCGCCCCCCGCCUCCUGUGCUCCAGAGCAAAUGGGAGUUUUUUCCAGCUCCCUACAGGCCUUAGCAGCUACCUUGCAGCUACUGACUUCUCACAGUCACCCUCUUAAUCAUUUCUAGAGUCCGGCAUGAGAUUGCUGGAUGCAAACACAAGCAGACGGACUCCUUCAGGCCACAGAGGCACUGUCUGAAGCACAAAUGUACACAGCAAAGAGAUGGACACAGGGACAACUUAGAGGCAACAUUCGAAUCCCUGGCGUUCACGGCCUUUGCACCACCUGCUAACACACAUAACUGCAGGACAGCCAUGGUUUGAGAAAUGCCGAACACUGAGAAACUGAGCCCUGAAGAAAGGACCUACAAGGACGAGCUGAUGACCAAUGGAGAAGGAAAAGUCUCCUUUUCAACCAGUCUACACAACACGCUUUCACUAGUCACUACUCACUUCAGCUAGGGCAUUUUUAUAGGUAAGUCGGCGUCUUUAUUCUUUAGACCAUGUGGAAGAAAGAAUGCAGAUAAAAUUCAAUCAAUAAUUUCUUAUUCAAUUACUGUAAGAAUGUUUUCACGUAUUGCAGAGAUAGACCAUUGUGCCCACCUUUAAAAAGCAAAGAAAAGAAAACCUGAUGUACAAAAAAUUUAACUUGCUCCACAUAUAAAUUAGGAAGUGAUUAUUUGCAUUACAAAAGAUCAUACUUUUCAAAAAAAAAGAUAAGUAACAAGAUUCCUUGAAAUAUCAAGUCCCUUGGUAGAACAAAAUUUUAAUCCAAUUUACAAAGGAAACAGGGAAGCACAAACUUCAUGUGGGCCUAACUCCUACUUCGAAAUCUUUACUGGCCUGUGGCCUCCCUUUCUGCUUUUUCCUGCACCUCUGUGCAGGAUAUUAUGUAAGAAAGCGCCCACUCUGCCAUAGUAAUGGGGUAUGGAUGUAGCAGAGAUGUCUGGGUUGCUGGCGGAAGUGCCAGAGAUUAUCUGAGGUACUGGCGGAAGUGGCAGAGAUUAUCUGAGGUACUGGCGGAAGUGCCAGAGACUGGCUGGGGUGCUAGAGUGCAGAGGAGAUUGAGAUGAAGUAGUUUAGAGUCUCCGGCAUGUCUUAACGCAAGGCUUCAUCUUCUGCCUGCCUUCCUAUAUUUUGAGCUCUUCACAAAGGGAUCGUUUUGUUGUUGCUGUUUAUAACUCAGUCCCUGGGGCCAGGCCUGGCAUCUGAUUCACAGAAUUGUGCAAACCAAUAGUGCUGGAAAGAGAUUUCUAGGUGCCACCGUGUAACUGAGUUUCUGGCCUCACUGAGGAACUGCUAUCUCAUUCAGUUCUCCGUGCAUAGUGAUGGAAUGUGGACAGUGUGGCCGUGCGCUCAGGAGUCAAGUACAGUGGCUGAGCUCACACACUGCAAAGUGGUGGGGAACAGGAAUUCACAUCUGCAGGACACUCUGAACUGCAGACAAUCUGUAAGCACAGCGGUAAGAUGCUCACAAUGUAACAUGAGCAAGAGGCAUUACUUACAGCCACAGAACAGAUGCGGUUCUAUUCCAUCUCGUUCUAGAGACAUAGUCAGUAUUUCUGAAAAGAACACACUUUCCACAUACGGGCCAUCCAGAAUCUUCUCCUGGUGAUUCACUGACAGAGCAAAGCCCUUGAAGACGGGGUAUUUUUUUUUUUUUUGAAAAAGCACACUACAGCAUCUUUUCAUUUUGGUCAUUCUUCUAUACUUUUGACAAUAAUUUAAAAACAGUAAGCAUUCAAGUUCCCAGUCCCAUGAGCUCAGGGUUGUACCCGGGCUCUGCCACUUUUCAGUCAUGUGGUCUCUAAGAGGGACACUGAGAGCUGGCAGAUUGAAAAGGCUGAGGGCAGUGGGGAAAAGAAAAGCACAGAGCAAUGGGGGAGAGAGAACCUGGACUGUACACAGCAAAGCGCUCACAAGCACUGCAGAUUAUCAAACUCCCUCGGGGGAGCUGUGGUGAGCAGUUAUCCCACGACAUUCUAGAACAAGACAAAGAACUCCAAGAGGAUUGGGAUGAAGAAGAGAAAAUAGAUCUGCCUUUUGAUUGACACCUCAUGCAAUGGAAAGGGUAAACAGGAAAUCCACAGCAAAAGUAAAACGUAUUCUAGAAAAACUACAGAAAUCUUCAAAGCAAGACUUCUACAAUGAAUCUAAGUUUGCACAUCUAAGAUUAACAUGAUCCAAACCAAGAAAAUCUUUUGUCAUAAUUCUCCUUCUUAAUUCUGUUGUGAAACCCUGAGCUAUUCAUUUUUCUGGGAAAGGUUUGGUGCUUCCUCAAGAAUAUCCAUUGGGGCUUUUUCCUGAAAGACUAGAAGAGAUUCAUCUUCCUAAAUGUGUUAACAAAGAUCCUCUCACAUGUCCACACGUACAUACCCAGGGAAGUCUUUCAACCCAAGCCCCAUGGGGUGCUAAUCAAACUGCAGUGUUCUGUAGACCAAACCAUGAUGGCUCUUCUACCAGAUAUCUCUGGUUGGCACUGGCAGCUAUCCUGCAACUUUAAACUUAAAUGAGAGGCCCAGAAAAAAAACAGGCUCGGCAAUGAUUUAAUUGAAGGAAAUUUUUGUGAGCCAGGAAUUCUGUAACAAGCCAAGUUAUAAUUCAAGUAUGAUAAUAAUAAUAAAAAUAAAAUAUUCAAGGGCUCAGAAAAAUCUAACACAUAAAUCACUUAAAACCUCUUCAAGAUGUACUCCAGUUAACUGAGAAAUGAAUCAAACUGGAGAUGCCGUGAUGUGACAGACUUCAGAUUGAAAGUUAGACACAAGUGACUCUGAGCUGAUGAAAAUGCUGCAGAAGUACAUUUAGAUUUUAAUAUUGUAAAAUAAUUUGGUAGUAAUAAACUAAGUUUAAAACAAUAGGCUUUGCCAAAAAGCACAUUUUUUUAAUACUGCAGGUUUCACUUAGGGACAAUCUAAAGACAAAUAUCCCAAACAAAGAUUACGAUGCCUGUUUUCACGUGUCACCUUGAUUAGGUCAAUAAGUACCCAGGUUCUUGGCCUAACAUUAUAUUGAAGUGUUUCUGUGACAUUCUUUUAGGAUAAUGUGAAAUUUAAAAUAGUGAGAAAAGAAGAGUAUACUGCUUAAUGUGGUUGCCACUUAAGCAAUUCCUGGAAGAACUGAAAAGAACAAAAAGGCAGGCAUACUCAGACUCCACAAAAAACAGCCCCAGUUCUUCCUGUCAGCCAAGCUCUAACAGGACAUCAACCCCACUCCAUGCAGUUCUGAAACCACAGGACAACCCCAGCCCCCUGUAGGUAUGUCUUAAAAGAUCAUCAUUCUUUAUUAGGGAAGUACAAAUAAAAUUAUAAUUGGGUACCAUUUUCUUCACAGCAGGACGAUGGAUAGUGUUAAGGAGUUUCUUAUAAAAAGAAAACCUGGAAUAUAGGUGUUAAGAAUGAAAAUAAACUAUGAAUAUUUGGCAUGGAUAUAAAAAGCCAGUCCUGACGGCCUCCCUCAUCGCAUCCCCCACUCUCAGGACACCUCCAGUUUCUUCUGUGGCCUUCACUGUUUCAUCCCACAGGAGGAAAGGGGGAAACAUGUCUGCUCCCCUUUUCAAAGAAUUUUUUGUUUGUCUUUUUUUUUUUACAACUGAAUUUCCAAUGCAUUUGUGAUCUAAGAAUUAGAAUCCUGAUGGGAAAAGCAAACAAAAUUGAAGUAUGAAAAGGGAAAUGACACAGUGGAGGAUGCAUGAAUUCAAUAAAUAAAUGCAAUGCAAAUGAGAGAAUUCACAAGACAGGGAUGCAUACUGCCAACCCCAGCACUCCAGGAAAGACCAAAGAUGCUCCAGCCGGGCAUUGAGAAGAAAGGAUCACACACUGCAGCAAUGCUCACCAACUAGUCUUCCCCAGAAACAGACAAAUGACCUAAAAAUCCUAUCGUCGUUGUUGUUGUUUCUCCCUUUACAUACUGCUGAAAUCAUCUUCUGUCCCCUCACUUCCUGUCAACAGGAGUGCAAUCCAUUUCCUAAUACAAGAGUGAUGUAUUAGCCACCUGAGUUUCAAACCUGCUUUUCCUCAUUUUCAGGGGAAAUUUAUGUCGUGAUAUGCCACACUUAUUUUGAUAUAACUUACUGUGCAGAAGUGGUGUUUCUGUGAAUUAAAACCAAAGCACUGAGCCACACCACCUCCACGAGUGGAGGGAGUGCACUUUAUCACAGCCCUACUGAGAAACGUUUUAAUAUAUAUUCAGAAUGGGGAGCACCACGGUAAUCAUCCAGAAGGAGCACUGACAGCAGACAACGUGCAAAAUGCCCUGAAAAAAACUGAAAAUCACUUAAACUCUGUUACACAUCUUUCUGAAAAGAAAGGCAAUCAUGCAGGCAGAAUAUCCUCAGGCUGGAAGACCGAAUGCAGGGGCACACACAACCAGAGAAUCUACUCAGUGCUGUCCGGGAGAUACCUAUAAGGAUGGAAGCUCACUGCCGUGACUACGAACACUGCUGGUUACAGCCAUCACCAGCCCUACAUGGGCACUGAGCGUUUCACAUGUGGUCAGGGCAACAGAUGGAAUCUAUCCUCGAUGUGAUCUCAUUUUGCUAAUUUAACUGUACACAGUCACACGAUGCUAGUGGUUACCAUGUUGCACUGUGCAGCACUACAAAGAGUCUGUUACCAGAACAAAAGAGCAAAGUCAGACAAAUCAUGAAGAAAUAGUCUAGAUAUUCGAUUCCUCAACGAGGUCACAGGCUCAGUGUUUAUAAUAAUUCAAGUAUCCUCUUCUUAAUACCAGCCCACAUCUCCAGUCAUUCAAUUUACAUACCCUAGUGAUAUGCUAUCAAGGAUGAUGGGCAGAGGAAAGUAAGCGGUGCUGUGAGCCCAAUUGUGGCAGCAUGCUCUACAAUCCCAGAGCUGAGAAACAGACAGGCAGAUAUCUGGGCUUGCUGACUAGACAGCCAAGCCUAUUGAGAAAGUUCCAGCCCAGUGAAAGACCCCAUCCCCAAACAGGACAAUAACACCUGAGGAAUAACAGCCAAAGUUACCUCACACAACUGUACACCUGCAUGCACACACGCACCCAGCACACACACACACAUGCAAGAACUCUAACAUCCUGUCACUGUAUGUCUAGCUGUAUUUUACUGUUAUACAGGCUUGACAAGCCACGAGGAGUAAUUAUUCUCUACUCUUCCUAGAGAGAUUCUUAAGAUGACCCUCACAGGCUCAACUGAGAGCUAUCACUCACUCAGAUACCUGCUUUCCAGGUACAACCACCGAAAUGCCAAGAGGAAAUUAAUAAUAAGUCCAAGGAAAUCUGAGGACCAGAAAACUUGUUACUCAGAUAAACUUUUGGAACCCACAACUAAAAUAUUCUUUACACACCAUUGAGAAUGGUAGCCAAAACUUUUCUUUUAAUUGACAAAGUCCCUUUUGUAAUACAUGUAGUUCUUCUGCUUCUUUUGUCUAAUACCAAGACAGACUAUUCUAAAGAACACCAUCCAGUAGCAGUAAACUUAGGGACUAAGAAACACAUAAAUCUGUAGCCCAGAAGUCCCUCACUUAAUUUUUGGCUGAACUAUAAAUUUUCAGGUAAGGUUAUACACACAUGAUCAUCUUUAUUUUAAUGAGAAGUAAGCUGGUUGAUCGUUAGAUUCUUGUCUCCUACCCCAGUUUCUAUGGCCACGCCUUCUUUCCAUGGCCACACCCUUUUCAUGGCCACCUUGAAUUAAAUAUCCUUCAAUUUUGAAAUGAUGGGAAAAUUAGUAGGAAACAGCAUUUAUAUAUACAUGCAAAUAUUUUUUCAUGUCUUCUUGAACAGAACAGAAAACACUCUUCAAGGAUGAACUUCUCAUUCUGAACUUACUGAAUAAAGUACACUUUCAACCAUGCUCCCUAACCAUAAAGAUGAAUAAAAACAAAUUAUGCUUAACUCUUGUGUAUGUCGUUACCUAUAUUCAAGAAGCAAUUGUGUGAAUAUAGUUUUGAUGUUCACAGAGUAGGCACUGUUGAGUAAGAGUGAUUACAAUGAGCUAGCCUCGUUCAUGGUGUUCAACGCCCAGAGCUAUGAUUGGAGAAACUAGAUAUGUCCAACAGUCAAUGAGAUAGGCAAACUAUUCUACCAUCUCUGAUGUUUUUAAAGAAGAAACAGCAGACCAAUGAUUAAAAACUCCUUUGUAACUAUCCAAUAAUGUUCAGACGGCCUCCCCAUUUUUCUAUCAAUACUAGCUAAUCCACAGAAGACUUCUGUACUCAAAGCGAGGCUCAGAUAUUUUGGCUAGUGCUAGAGUACUACAGAAGCUUCCUUUGAGAAAUAAUUCAUCAACAGUUUGUUACAUUUAGAACACAAAAACACUUUAGUUGUGUUGAUUUGCAAAGCAUACCAUAGAACUGAAAGUCAUGCUUCAGGUCAUGGUCAAAUGUAGCUGCCAAGUGCCACCAUUUCUUGUGGUCCAGAGACAGAUCUAUUAAGUCAUCACUGGUAUCAAAUUUAAGUUUACUAUUAAAUGUGUUUACCUUUUAGGUCCUGGGGUAGUUAAUAUGUAUAACACGAAAGAAGAAAUUUUUUAAUUAAUGUUGUAAUUUCUCACUAACCUUGAUACCACUAAAUGUUCAAUAGCCAAACCUGGUUGAUGUGAAUAUGAAACUAUUUUUACUCAUCCCAAUAUAUGUUGAGUUGAAAUUUGUGCUUCAUUUAAAAUGGCACCAAUCAGAUGUCCCUAAAAUCCAACAGAUACAUAAAUACUCAUUCAUCAUUAUUUUUGCUUAAAAGAAUAGUAAUCUGGGUUGAUGGAGAUGAUAGCAAAACCUUUUCAGAGAUAAGCUGUCAAAUAAAUGAUUCCAUUUGCUUCAAAUUCCUCAAAAGUUACCAAAGGCUACAUCAGUCACACAGGAACCUUACAUAUCUGAGAUGCCUGGAUGGAGAUUCCCCCCCCCUAAUAGUCCAACCAUUCACCCUUAGUCAAUAAAAACAUUCAUUUUACUGCUUAAAGUCUGCAUGUUAAUUCAAUUACGUUUCUUAUUUCUGCCUGUGUCUUAUGUAUAAAGUGCUCCUUUAACAUCCAUACACUUGAAUUUCCUCUUGGGUUCUUGUAGCAAAUGACUCUUCCUAUGAAUGUAUAAUUUAUAUCUGAUCACACUGAACUCAUUUCUUAUAUUUUAAGAAGAACAGAACAAGCCAACAUGCUUUGGCACAUUCACUCAUCCCCAGUCAACAUUGCUGAAGAAAAAUAAGGUUUGUGCAUGUGCUCGUGUGUGGUCUGUAGGCUUAAGUCUGAUUCUUUGGGAACAAAUUAUAGCAAAAUCUUAGGAACUGGAGGUAAGAACUGAACUCUUCAACAGAGCAGGCAAACUGGUGUUUGCACACUGUUCCUGCCAAUACCGUCACAGGUACACAACUUAUACUACCGCAAAUGCCAAAGCCAGGGCUGCUGUGUUUGCAGGAGCAGUGGUUGCUACAACAGAGGCCUAGCAUGACCCUGCAUGUCCAGAAGGGGGAAAAGGGGGGAAAAAAGCCUGAGAAAGUUGGCAAAAGCAAACUAGCUGCCACUGAUUUAAAGUAAGGCUGACUUAGGUACCUACCUCCAAUCUCAGGUCCAUAAUUUUCUGGUUAUGAUAUGACAGAGGCUCGGUCACCACUGCUAGGUCUCAGUUUCCUUGUUUGUGAAGUAGAAACCCUGACACAUAUCAUUAAAGUGGCUGAUGGGAUUGGAAACGAUGAAUUACCACUUGUGUGUUAGUCAUCCACAACAGAAGCAUGCAGUGUCGGAAAGCUGUUUGAGACCACACUGAGAGCCUCUCUUACCAUCAUAUUAACAAAUUCCCAGGCAGGUCAACACAGAUAGGGCUUUAUGCUUACUGCAAAGGAAUGGUCAAAGCACUUAGGCUCCUUACAGAAUGUCUGCGUCAGCAUAUGCUAUCCAAUGGGAAACCUGUUCAGAACCUUUCCCAUCACAUGAGGCCCUCCACUGGCAGAGUGGCCACUUCCCACUGGAAGUCUCGGUUGUGACGGGUGGAUCCGAGUGCUGUCAGCCAGGGCAUCAGGAGCAGCUACAGGAGGUUGUGCUCAUGCAUUUCAAGAUUACUUAACCCUAACCUAUUCUAACGCUAGCAUUUUGCUAAGUAUCUUUUGGUCUUUUCUUUUCUUUCUCCUUCUUCAGAAAUCCAAGAGUCUAACAGAAAUUCACAGCUGAGGUUUAUCCCCAUUCAAGAAAUUUAGACUACUAUGUUGAAGUCAACCACCUAUAUCACAUCUUGGUUUUCAAAAUCGGAAACUCCAAAAGCAGCUCAGAUCUUUCGACUGGUAUCCAUAUAAGAUACUAGAUGUCUAUAAUAACAUCAAUGAAAUAUUUUGGUAAAACUUAGCAAUGAAUAUGUGUAUGUUUUUUUUAAAUCGCUAUUUCUUAAAUAUAGCUCUGCAGCCGGACAUCUGAUGUAACAGGCUCCAAAAAUUGCAAUCGCCAAGAAGAAACACAUUUCAGUAUUCCAUUAUGAAACUCACUCAGAAUGUGUGAUUCAGUGCUAUCGCCAUCAGUUUCCGAGGCCUACAGUGAGAAGCCAGAGGUCGGGCUGGGAAUAAGGUUGUCUCACUUUUGCCCAUCUCUGGAAUGCCAGGGCUUGAGGUGGCUGGGAAAAGCUGAUAGGUCAAAUGGUUAGGAGUGAAGAGUACAUGUCUAGCAAAGACAUGGCUAAAAGUCUAAACUGUCACUCCAAGCAGGGAUGCAGGAGGGGCAAGUGUAGUGACAGUUUUCAAGUGACAUUUAUAAAUCUUAAUAAAAUGUGACUUAAUGCGCAAAGGAAGGACCAUCAAAGGACAAAAGCUGCCAUCAAUCUGGUAGCCAAUAAUCCAGGAGCAAAGGCUCCAUCAAGGGGCACCCAGCCUUUUGACAGGGAAACACGACGCUGCUGUAGAUGGAAUUCACAGCUGUCUUUGGACACCGUGGGUGAACACGACUAUCGUGCGUAUGUGGUCACAUUUGCAACUGAAGGCUGGGUGCUCUAAGCUCAAAGCUUGCAUUUGCACAUUAUAAUUUCUCUUUGAUCAUCAUAUACAAAGAAAACUAGUCUUUCAGCACGUUCACUAGUAAAACACUCCAAUCACUCCGACACGGCAUCAUCCUUAUUAAGAUCUAACAGGUCUAAUAUUACCAAUGGGGUAUUGAGUAGGGAAGUCACUGGUUACAUCACCAGAUCACAGAUAAAAAAAUAAACAAGCCAACAUCUGGCUAAGGCGAAGUUCUACUGUCUUCUUGUCCACGGACUCUUUACAAAUGACACUACCUACUCCCACUUAAAAGCAUCUUGAGCACAGGUCCUGCGGGGCAGAGUGGGGCUCAGUAGUCAAAUGUCUGCCUGGAUUCAUGAGGCCCUGGGCCCACAGCCCAGCAAAGAACAAAAGGGACAAAAAGAAAAAAAUAUAUCCAAACAAUACCAAAAAUCAGUGCCUAGGAACUGUCUAAAAGUAGACACCAUCUUCAAAUCAAAAUUAAAAUAAGCAGACCCCUGUGUGCUAUUAACUAAAUAAAAAUUUCAGCAUUCUUUAAAAAAAAACAUUUUGACAAAAUAUUUGCCUGUGACACUGUGCUUUUCAAGUGUUAUUUUGAUGUAAAAUUGAGUGUUUAAGAAUGGAAAUUCCCUCAAGCCUCUGAAAUGAUAGUGCGGUUGACAGUGUCAAAAGUCAUGCUGAGAUCAAGGCAAACGAGCGGGAAGCAGAGCAACAGCAUUCAUAAAGAGGUCGUUUAAAACCUCUUUGCUGUGAUACAAACUAAAACAUGACUAGAAUCUCAUCAGAGCAAGAGCGGGAGAAAGAAGUUCAAGUGUCCAUCCUCAACCAGAAAGAAAAACCACCGGCCAAAAUGGCUGAAAGACUUGAUGCCUGAGGACAAAUGCAUUUGUAUGAGUGAAGCCUAAUUCGCAUUUUGUGAACACAAAACUGUAGCUCCACAGAACCCAUGGGUUUCCAGAAGACAGGAUUCUCCCUGUUUUCACCCAGAAGCCAGCUGCACUGUUAGGCUGUCCUAAGCAACUUCUCACUUUCAUUUGCUAUCACUCCACCCUCUCUCUUGCUCACCUCAGUUACCAUUGCUUAAUAACAUGCUGCUUGUCCCAUGACUUCUCAACCUCAGUUCAGGGAAUGCCCCUCUGUUGUCCUGGGGUUUAAGAUGAGGAGUCUCUAUGGCUUCUACCUUGCCUCGCACAUCCUACUUAGUCUCUGCUAACAGAAACCUCUGAGGACUAGCCAUGCAGGGGGGAAACCUCAUUCUUACUCCUGCUUCCCUUCUUAUAUCACAUGCAUUGUCUAAUUAGAAUGGUCGACCCUUGUCGCCUUUCCAUAAAGCCAUGGAUACUUAACAUAUGGAUACGUGUGCUUUACCACAGGCAUGGUACUGGUUUGCACUAUUUACUCUUACACGCGUGUUGCUAAAUGACUCUUCAACAUUAAUUCUUUCAUUAUUAGUCACAGACUGGUGCUUAGACAUCCGCCAGAUCAGUUAUCAUAGGCGAAUUGCCAAACGUGAAAGCUGGCUUGAGCAAUGCCCUUUUAGACCACUAGUAAUAUAAUCAGAACAUUGCCAAGUUCCAACAGGUCCUCAAAGACUCAGAGAUGCACGAUUACAAAGGAAAGGCUCCUAAUCUCCCCUGAAGCAAGCACUUCAUGGUUCACUUAUUAUAUAGGACCUAAGUUUUUUCAUAGCUGUCAUGUUUGCCUUUGAAGACAUUUCUCCGUUUUCUGCCUAUUUAUAUAUGGGGUUGUGUAUAUGUGAAAAUAUAUAUCUCUACUACACAGAUUCCUAUUCCUAAUGGUAUACAUAAUGCAUAUAUAAUAAUAAAAUUACCAUGGUAUAUUUCAUUAUACAUUUUUGUUCAUUUCUGUAUUGCUAAGAAUUAUUCCAUCACAAUGUCAGUAACAUCGGUGUAGGAAUCCCUUCUACUACACAGAACAGGAAUAGAAGAGCUGAUGUUCUGCUUCAUAAUCUAUGCACACCUUAUUUACCUAUUGAGGAAGUAGCAUUCCGACCUACAUAAGCACUACAUUAGUGUCUUCAUGUAUCAGAUCUGCUAAGAACAUGAUAAAGUAGAAACUUCAAUUCAGCUGUAGGAUUCCUGUAAUUUGGGCAAAGGCUUACACUGAAGUUCUUACAUGAAAACACUCCCCAGGAUUCACAUGAGGAUAAACAGAAAAAUGAAGACAUCCGUGGUAAAAUGCCUGCAGCAUAACAAAUGUCACUUGUUUCCCCGUCUCCUAUUACUCCUGAAGCCACUGUCAUCUGGCUUUUGACACUAAUGCUUUAGUGAAACUGUCCUAAUUAAAGUCUCGAAAUGUUUUGUCACUUCCAGUCUGUGAGGCACUAGAAAUUCAUCACAAACUGUAUUUUCCUCCAUGCCCGUUUCCCUGUCCAAAGGUUCACACCCCUAACUGCUCUCUCCUCAGCCUCUUGAGCUUUCUGUCUCAGCCCAUACUGGAAGAUUCUCUGUUCUCAUCAUUCACUGCUCCUGGUCACAUGACAGUUUCUCGCACCAACUCUCCAUUCCUGUUGAUACCCUUUUCCUUUAGACCCAAAUGGCUAGUCUCUUCUGACAGGUCUAUAUUGACUAUAUAUUUAAGAUCUUCUGGGCAGACCUUUGAUUCCUCAAACUUACUUCGGGACUCAGAAACCCAAGCUAGAAGGAAAUCAGGCUGUCUUACAUCACCUGGACAUUGCCCUUUUCAAAUGGCCACUCAGCCUGGAAGUGGUACUCCUCCUCCAUCGCCUGUGCCUGGCUCUGCAGUCAAGCCUUCCUAUGCUAUCAGGGGAUGCUCUCUCAGCUUCCCCUACUCUUUCCUUUUCCACCAGGCUCCAACCCAGCUGCCACAUGCUUUGCAGCUUAAGCCAAGAGUCAAAUCCCUUCAAGUUCUCUCAUGGUACAUUCCCCCCAGGGUUAUGGCCCCUGAGGUCAGUCUUCCCAGUCUGCCUAGGAAACCCUGUAUCUGGGCACACUUUAAACCCAUCCAUUCACAGCCUUCAUGAAGAGCCCACUCUCCACAUACUCCUGCAAAGCUUUGGUUCAUCUAUCGUUAUGAAAGGAACUAUAAAAAUCCUGUUUAACCCUUGGAAGACUAAUAGCUAGACCCUACAGAAAGUAGAGGCUGUGUGAAGCUGUCUGCUCAAUUUUGGAGACCAUAGAGAAUGUGAGGAGGGGCUACAUACACCAAGCAUUUAAAGGAUUAUCAAUAGACCUAUAUUAAAGUCAACACUGUUCACUUAGUCCAGAAGACAAAGUAGCCUAAUUACAAGGAGAUGACCUAGUUACGAUCUUCAGCAUAAGAUAUGAUUACACAAGAGACUUAAAAGUAGUUUUCCUUGAGGGAAAUGGUGCUUUUUUUUUACUUUAAGCUCCCACAGAAUCCAGCUCUGAGGCUUGUUCUGUGUGCACACUGGGAAGUAACAAGAACAAAGACAAAUAAGAGGACAGGGUCUGGAUCACUCAGCUCUUAACGGGAGCAAUACAAUGCAACUUCUCUGAACAUCCUUGAGAGCAGAAUAAAAUAUGCAGACUCCUAGGAAGGGAUGGUAUCCUUUCUGAGGGUGAACACUGGAUUCGAUGAAGUACACAAACUCCCCUGCAAUGUGAGCUCCCACUUGCCAUGCGUCCUUCCUCUAAGAUUUCAGGAAGACAGAUAGGCUGCUUGUUUCUCCAUUUAACUUGUUUAAGAGCUGGAUUUUCAGUCAAACACAAGCACAUUUUAGAGUUUCAGAAACCCCACUCCUAUAUCCCUCCCAAGAAGCCAACUGGCCCUAAAAGUGCCAGCCAAUGGCUGUGUCUUUGACUCUCCUUAAUAAGGCAUCUUAUUAAAAAAUAAAGCAAACCUUCCUAUGCCUUGCCAAUGCCUUGAAAAAAGUGAACUGGCCAUAAAAGAGAUUUCACGAAAUGAAUUAUUUUAUUGUUUUACCAAUUAUAAUUGCUGUAUGAGAAAAACAUUACAUAUAGAGACUGCUCAACAUACAAGUACUGCCUACAUGCCAUGUAUGGAGAAAAUAAAACCCUAAAUUAAAUGUGACAAAUGUAUGCUAUACACCAUUAAGGAGCUACACUGAGGGCAGAUGGUGGUAUCUACUGCUUAGCCAUGGAGUUGGGAAAAUUAAGGAAGUUUUAUACAAAUCAAUUUUAUUUUUAAAAUACCUUUGAAAGUUAUGAUCACACACCCUUUUGUUACCCAAAUCAAUCAUUGCUGUAUUUUAUAUUAAUAUAUUUAUAUUAAUAAUACCUUUGGUUUGCAAGGACAUUUUUUCUUCCUCUGGAUGUGCAAUUGUAUGUCCAUGCAAACUCAUUCUAGCUGUGCAAUUAUGAGUGUGCCUGCCAUUCCUCACAAUUCUCUAGUUACACAAUACUGCCGUACCUGUGCUACAUUCUGAACCAUCACAAUUGGGAACAAACAAAUGACUAUAACCAUUUGGGUAUAAUUUGAUUGGAAGAUCAAAAUAUUAAGCUUGGCAAGUGACAUAGCUUCCUCAAUAGCAGAAAUCUCUUCUCAAGCUCAUAAACCUAUUAGCACCCUUUAAUGUCUCAGAGAAUAUAAAACUGAUGCAGAAAAUCUACUUAUGGUUAUAGACUGAAUGGGCGCCUUCAAGCCAGGGAUGAAAAUGAAACUCUAAUUCAGGCAAUCAGUGGGAUGCUUUCUGGGUAAACUAUCAAGUAACGUUCACGUUGUUGGGCUAAGAUGUCCCUGAACAUCAAUUCUAUAAUGAUUUCUCCAUUUGGUGAUUCUUACACUUACAUCAUUAGCUGGAAAAGAGAUAAAUUAAGGCGAUGGGUUUUUUGUUGAGUCUUUCACUGAAUUCUGAAAUGAGAAGCACUCUGAAGAUGAUUUGGUCCAAUCAAUGAGUUUACCUUGUGGCAUCAAUGAAGCCCAGAGCUGUAGUAACUUUUAAAUCACUUCACAGAGACAUUUAGCCACGGGAACAGAGGCUAGAAAACACACUCCUACUUCCUAUUCUGGGAAGUAUUUAUUGGACUCAAAGAACUAGAGAGAAUCCUGUGUGAAAUUCCUAACACAAUUUGGAAUGAGGUUGAAGGUGACUUACAAGGAGAUCAUAGGACGGACAUGAUUCAGGAUGUGAGAGCUGCUUGAGGACCUGCAUUCAAAUCCCAAAAUGCAUGUAAAGAGCCACUUGAGGCUGCAUGUCCCUAUUAGCCCAGAGCUGAGGAAGUGGAAACUGCAGGAUUAUUGGAGCUUUGUGGCUGUCAGCCUAGCUCAGGAUUCAGUGAGAAGCCCUAUCUCAAAGAAAUAAGUCAAAUAAAGCAGAACACCUAGCAUCUUCCUAUGGUUUCUUAAAAUACACAGAUGAGCAUGCAUCCACAUAAUAUAUGCAUAUAUCAUACGUACAUUUACCAUAAAUAUACACAACAAAGAAGGGGGAAGGAUACCGUCAGUGUAUACAAAGCCAUGUACAGGGCAAUGAGUAGCAGUUUUCUCACAUUAAUGAAAACAUAUAUAAAAGCUUUGCUGAUUCAGGAUUUCACAUAAGAUAUAAUGAUGACAAGUUGUUUUGGUUGAGAAGACUACAUUUCUAAGGGUAACACCACAGAAGAGAACAUUGCUGUGUAGAUAUAUCAUUAAGAGUCUGUAUCAAUCCAUUUAUUUGUUGCAAGUACUAAUUGAGGGUGCCAUACAUACUAACUAGCCACUAGUUUAGAUUAGAAAUACAAUCAUCAGAAACUGAUAUGCCAGCCAUUGAGUAUGGAACACAGUUAAACAUUUGUACCAUGCAAAUGUUAAUCUGGCUUUCACACUACUCUAAUAAAGUAUAGCACAAAAAUAGUUAUUCCAAGUAAUUUUAUCUCUAUUGGAAUUGUUUUGUCUUGUCAAAUAACUUCUAUCAUAAUAUGUGUUUGUUUUAUAUAAUAAAAUCAUAAUACUAAUUAUACAUUAUUUCAGGCAAUAUUUAUGACAAGGUUCUAAAAUAUAAAAGUAUAGACGUUUUCUGGAAGUUUCCUCAAAUGGGGUUUAACCUGGUUUUUAAUUGAGAAGCUAUAAAUAAUUCUCCAUAGAGAUUCUGCAAGCCCAUCUUUUAUAAGCAAAUGAUAUAUACAUUUUGCUUAAAACAGCUUGGUGCCCUGUCCUUUGUUUGGGGACAUUUCCCUUCCCUUCAUACUCUUAAAUUAUUUCAGAAAUUGUACCAAACAUUCCACCAAAAUCACCUGACAGUUUGAGUGAGGCUUUUCAGUUCACUAAGUUUUAUGGCUUUUUUUCCCCAUCCUAAUCACUCCAAAACUUUACUGCUGACAUUAAACCAUGACAGUUAUCUCUAUUUCUUAUGGAUGUGAUAAAAAACUGAAACCUUACCUCUCAGUGAUGCAUUUAAAAUUUUCAAAGUUAAGUUCAGUCCAGGCCAGAUGGUCCUGUCCCUAGUCUGGGAAGAAGGUAGUAUAUAUGACCAUCCCCCACAAUGCAACGUAAGGAAAUAGCCUGCUUAUGCACUACUCCGAGAAUCUGCUUGUCACAAAGAGGAUGAUCUUAGGGGAUUCAGAAGCAUGUGUCGAGGGGAGACCACUGGUUGUACAUGCUCCUUUAUGAAGGAAUCAAGACUGGAGACCAGGGGUUGGGGAUUUGGCUCAGUGGUAGAGCGCUUGCCUAG